UUGAUUUUUAAAGGAUGUGCUGGCUCCUCCUCCGGGGGGGCAUGUGCACUCUUAACAAAAACCAAUAUCCACCUGUGCACCUUUAGUAGGCAGGAAAAGAUCCCUUACCCAAGGCCUUUUUUUGUCUAUGUUUUUCUAUCACAAACACUAGAUCUAUUUGAAUGCUAAUAUAACAAAUAAUAUUUGUAACA
rnacentral:misc_RNA from 1 species